rnacentral:rRNA from 1 species
GGCCCAGACUCCUACGGGAGGCAGCAGUGGGGAAUAUUGGGCAAUGGGGGCAACUCUGACCCAGCAAUGCCGCGUGAGUGAUGAAGGUAAUUUUAUUGUAAAGCUCUUUUCUUUGGAACGAAUAAAUGACGGUACCAAAGGAAUAAGCCCCGGCUAACUACGUGCCAGCAGCCGCGGUAAUACGUAGGGGGCAAGCGUUAUCCGGAUUUACUGGGUGUAAAGGGAGCGUAGACGGACUUGCAAGUCUGAUGUGAAAAUCCGGGGCCCAACCCCGGAACUGCAUUGGAAACUGUAUAUCUAGAGUGUCGGAGAGGCAAGUGGAAUUCCUGGUGUAGCGGUGAAAUGCGUAGAUAUCAGGAGGAACACCAGUGGCGAAGGCGGCUUGCUGGACGAUGACUGACGUUGAGGCUCGAAAGCGUGGGGAGCAAACAGGAUUAGAUACCCUGGUAA